rnacentral:rRNA from 1 species
UGGGGAAUAUUGGACAAUGGGGGAAACCCUGAUCCAGCAAUGCCGCGUGAGUGAUGAAGGCCUUAGGGUUGUAAAGCUCUUUCGGCGGGGACGAUGAUGACGGUACCCGCAGAAGAAGCCCCGGCUAACUUCGUGCCAGCAGCCGCGGUAAUACGAAGGGGGCAAGCGUUGUUCGGAAUUACUGGGCGUAAAGGGCGCGCAGGCGGCCGACGUAGUCAGGCGUGAAAGCCCCGGGCUUAAACCCUGGGGAAUUUGCGGUUUGAUACUCGUUGGCUAGAGUUCGGGAGAGGAUGGUGGAAUUCCCAGUGUAGAGGUGAAAUUCGUAGAUAUUGGGAAGAACACCGGUGGCGAAGGCGGCCAUCUGGACCGAAACUGACGCUGAGGCGCGAAAGCGUGGGGAGCAAACA